rnacentral:misc_RNA from 1 species
GAAAUGCGAUAAUUAAUGUGAAUUGCAGAAUUCAGUGAAUCAUCGAGUCUUUGAACGCACAUUGCGCCCCCUGGUAUUCCGGGGGGCAUGCCUGUCCGAGCGUCAUUGCUGCCCUCAAGCACGGCGUGUGUGUUGGGCUUCCGUCCCUGGCAACGGGGACGGGCCCAAAAGGCAGUGGCGGCACCAUGUCUGGUCCUCGAGCGUAUGGGGCUUUGUCACCCGCUCCCGUAGGUCCAGCUGGCAGCUAGCCUCGCAACCAAUCUUUUUAACCAGGUUGACCUCGGAUCAGGUAGGGAUACCCGCUGAACUUAAGC